CGGAGCCGGGGGAGGGGCGGCCAGGUGCCCGGGGCGCGCGCCCUCGGCGCGGUGGGCGGAGCCCCGGCUUGAGGCGCGGGUCCCGGGGACUGGGGGUUAACUGCCCGGGGCUGGCACGUGGAGGGAGCGGCGGACGCUCCCCGAAGCCGGAGGAGGCUGCGGGGACUGGCCGCACACUGUUGCCAUUCCAGGCUUGUGUGGGAGAAGACUGCUGUGCGCCUGUGUCUGUCCGCCCGGGCGACUCCAGCCCUUGGUUAAUAAAAGCUUAUCCCAGGGAGAUUGGCUAUAGUUCCCUGUGCUAUACGAUCAAUGGUUGAUGUGUAAGUACGGCA